UAAGUUUUGAUCUUGAUUCACUCUGUUGUGUGAAAAGUAAUGGGCAGAAUUUCCCUGGGCCUCUGGUAAUGAGCUAGGAGGUGUGGAGUUGGGGGGAAAGCUGGUACAAAAACAAAGAAAGAGAAAAGAAAGCCUUCCAGGAUAAUCGAAUGAUCAAUUCUCAACUAGUGACUGAAAGAUUGAACUUUGGUGAAAACAUCCUCAUGCUGUCAACAAAGGACUGAAAAGAUGCUGCCAGACCUGCUGACCUUUUCCAGCAACCUCUGUUGUUGUGCCAGUUAAUAAAUUUGAUUUGAAGACAAAUGAGAGGUUUCCCAUUAAAAUCAGUUACCCUCAAAUGAAAUUGGGUAACAUUAAAGUUUAUUUCCUUGUUCCUGACUUGGUUAUUUACUAUUUUUACUAUUUGGUUUGUAUAAAAUAGAAUCUGUCCUUAAGUCAGAUAUUCCAUUGGUAGUGUAUUAGUAUUUUCCUAUUAUACUUUAUGAAUGAUAUUUGAUCAGCCAGUACUGCAUUUACCCUUUCAUGUAUUUGAUUUUUGCUUCACUAUAUCAGAUUUGGAAGAACUGAAGAUUUUCAUUGUGUAGUUUGUGUACACUUUGUCAUUUUUCAAAGAAUAUGAAACAAAUGAUAUUUUAAAUUAAAUUAUACUAUGUAACUCAAAUUCAUAAUAAUGGAAAGGAAUAUAACCUGUCUUUCUAUGGGCAUUCUUGAUAUUAAUUGUUCUAUUUUUGGUCUAUCAAGAGAAAUGAAUGCUCAGUUGAUUUCAAAAAUUAUACUACAAACACAUUGGUUGCAAACUAUUUUAAUUCACUGCUUUUUUGUUUGUAUAUGGGGUCUAUAUGUGGAGUUUUCCAUUAUGCACUCUUAACUUCAGUGGCAUACAUGGAAGCGAGUGUCAUGUCUGCUUAUGGCAGGCCAGCCUUUUUCAUGCAAUAACAUGGUUCUCAGUUCAUUACGUACACACAAAUGAGAAGCAUGGCAAAACCUAUUACAAGGUAGACAGGAAAUUGACACUCCCAGCAUUACCUUCAGGGGUUGAAGGUCGUGGCAUCAUAUUUAAAUUGCCUCCAGGAAGGCAUUCAUUCCCUGUAAAAAAACAUUUCUUAGUCUCACAGACAAACACAGAAAUUGAUGAAGAAACUCAGGCAACACCUGUGGAGACAGAAAGAGUGUUACUGCUUCAAGUCUGGCAUGACUCUUCUUUAGUUCUGAAGAAGACUUGAAAGAGCAACUCUAUUUCUGUCUCCACUGAUGCUGCCAGUUUCUACAGUG